GGGGGUAAUAUGUUAAAUUUAGGUUUACUUUGGGGGUAGUAUGUUAAAUUUAGGUUUACUUUGGGGUAGUAUGUUAAAUUUAGGUUUACUAUGGGGUAGUAGAUUAAGUUUAGGUUUACUUUGGGGGUAGUAGAUUAAAUUUAGGUUUACUUUGGGGGUAGUAGGUUAAAUUUAGGUUUACUUUGGGGUAGUAGAUUAAGUUUAGGUUUACUUUGGGGGUAGUAGAUUAAAUUUAGGUUUACUUUGGGGGUAGUAGGUUAAAUUUAGGUUUACUUUGGGGUAGUAGAUUAAGUUUAGGUUUACUUUGGGGGUAGUAGAUUAAAUUUAGGUUUACUUUGGGGGUAGUAGAUUAAGUUUAGGUUUACUUUGUGGGAAGUAGAUUAAGUUUAGGUUUUGGUUUAGGUGAGGCACAUGAAGUUUAGGUUGCGGUGUAGAACAUUAAGUUUAAGUUUAGGUUGAGGAAUAGUAGGUUAAAUUUAGGUCUAGGUUGAGGAGUAGUAGGUUAAGUUUAGGUUGAGGAUUACUACUUUAAGUUU